GCCCAAGUGGUCUAAUGGUUAUGAUUCGUGCUUCGGGACGCGGUAUAUCCCGGCUAUAUAUAUACAAUAGCCCCAAUGUGCGAGAUUGGGCGUUCGAUUCGCCCCUUGGGCC